GUCCACGCUGUAAACGAUGUCUACUGGCCGUUGGCCUCCUUGAGGGGUUAGUGGCGUAGCUAACGCGAUAAGUAGACCGCCUGGGGAGUACGGCCGCAAGGUUAAAACUCAAAUGAAUUGACGGGGCCCGCACAAGCGGUGGAGCAUGUGGUUUAAUUCGACGCAACGCGAAGAACCUUACCUACUCUUGACAUCCUGCGAAGCCUGUAGAGAUAUGGGUGUGCCUUCGGGAGCGCAGAGACAGGUGCUGCAUGGCUGUCGU
rnacentral:rRNA from 1 species